rnacentral:misc_RNA from 1 species
GGAAGUAAAAGUCGUAACAAGAUUUCCGUAGGUGAACCUGCGGAAGGAUCAUUAAAGAGUAAGGGUCUUCGGGCCCGAUCUCCAACCCUUUGUUUAACUACCAUGUUGCUUUGGCGGGCCCGUCUCACGACCGCCGGAAGUUUGGCUUCGACCAAACUUCUGGCCCGUGCCCGUCAGUGGCCCCUUCAAAUUCUUGAUCAAGUAUGAUGUCUUAGUUAAAAACUUAAUAGUUAAAACUUUCAACAACGGAUCUCUUGGUUCUG